UACAGAGGUCUCAAGCGUUGUUCGGGUUCAUUGGGCGUAAAGGGUGCGUAGGCGGCGCGGUAAGUCGGGUGUGAAAUCUUGGAGCUUAACUCCGAAACUGCAUUCGAUACUGCCGUGCUUGAGGACUGGAGAGGAGACUGGAAUUUACGGUGUAGCGGUGAAAUGCGUAGAUAUCGUAAGGAAGACCAGUGGCGGAGGCGGGUCUCUGGACAGUUCCUGACGCUGAGGCACGAAGGCCAGGGGAGCAAACGGG
rnacentral:rRNA from 1 species